GCAAGUCGAGUGGGUUUAGACCCACGGCAGACGAGGUAGGAACACGUAGGUACGUACCGUAGAGUCAGGGAUACUCCGGCGAAAGUCGGCAUAAUACUUGAUAGUCCCUUCGGGGUAAAGAUUUAUCGCUCUAUGAACGGCCUGCGGGCUAUCAGCUUGUUGGUAAGGUAACGGCUUACCAAGGCUACGACGGCUAGGGGAGGUGAGAGCCUGACC
rnacentral:rRNA from 1 species